rnacentral:rRNA from 1 species
AUGAAACUCGUCACCUGUGAUCGGACGACAGUUAACAUUAACGGUGAAAUCGGGUCUUAUUUCCCCACCCUAUGUGGGGUUCGCCAGGGCGACCCGUUCUCCCCGUUUUUGUUCAACAUGGUUGUCGAUGCCCUCGCGGUCAUCCUUGAUAAGGCCAAAGCUUGUGGCCAUAUCCGCGGUGUAGUCCCCCACCUGGUGGGAGGGGGAGGGGUCUCCCUCCUCCAAUAUGCGAAUGAUACCAUAGUAAUGGUGGAGGGAUCUGCAUCUGACAUUGCCAACUUGAAGUUCCUCCUCCUGUGCUUCCAACAGAUGACUGGGCUCACCAUCAACUUUGAUAAGAGCGAAGUGAUGGUCCUUGGCUAUCCUCCAAAGGAGGCUUAGGGCGUUGCUGAUCGGAUGAACUGCCGCCUGGGUUCCUUCCCCGUGACUUACUUGGGGAUACCCAUUAGUGAUUCCCGGCUCACCGUUGCUCUCCUCCGCCCGACUGUGACUAGGAUGUAG